rnacentral:rRNA from 1 species
UACGGGGGGGGGCAAGCGUUGUUCGGAAUUACUGGGCGUAAAGGGCGCGUAGGCGGCCUACUAAGUCGGACGUGAAAUCCCUCGGCUCAACCGAGGAACUGCGUCCGAUACUGGCAGGCUGGAAUCCGGGAGAGGGAUGUGGAAUUCCAGGUGUAGCGGUGAAAUGCGUAGAUAUCUGGAGGAACACCGGUGGCGAAGGCGGCAUCCUGGACCGGUAUUGACGCUGAGGCGCGAAAAGCUAGGGGAGCAAACGGG